GCGUAAUAGCUCACUGGUCGAGUCGGCCUGCGCGGAAGAUGUAACGGGGCUAAACCAUGCACCGAAGCUGCGGCAGCGACACUAUGUGUUGUUGGGUAGGGGAGCGUUCUGUAAGCCGUUGAAGGUGUGCUGUGAGGCAUGCUGGAGGUAUCAGAAGUGCGAAUGCUGACAUAAGUAACGAUAAUGCGGGUGAAAAACCCGCACGCCGGAAGACCAAGGGUUCCUGUCCAACGUUAAUCGGGGCAGGGUGAGUCGACCCCUAAGGC
rnacentral:rRNA from 1 species